rnacentral:rRNA from 1 species
UAGGGAAUAUUAGUAAUGGGCGAAAGCCUGAACUAGCAACGCCGCGUGUGCGAAGAAGGCCUUCGGGUUGUAAAGCACUUUUUGAGAGGAUGAGGAAGGACGGUACUCUCAGAAUAAGUCUCGGCUAACUACGUGCCAGCAGCCGCGGUAACACGUAGGAGGCAAACGUUAUCCGGAUUUACUGGGCGUAAAGCGCGUGUAGGUGGUUUGGUAAGUAGGGCGUGAAAGCUCCUGGCUCAACUGGGAGAGGACGUUCUAAACUGCCAGGCUAGAGGAUGGUAGAGGGAGGUGGAAUUCCGGGUGUAGCGGUGGAAUGCGCAGAUAUCCGGAGGAACACCAGUGGCGAAGGCGACCUCCUGGACCACUACUGACGCUCAGACGCGAAAGCUAGGGUAGCAAAC